rnacentral:rRNA from 1 species
AACGAACGCUGGCGGCAUGCCUAACACAUGCAAGUCGAACGAGACCUUCGGGUCUAGUGGCGCACGGGUGCGUAACGCGUGGGAACCUGCCCUUAGGUUCGGAAUAACUCCCCGAAAGGGGUGCUAAUACCGGAUAAUGUCUUCGGACCAAAGAUUUAUCGCCUUUGGAUGGGCCCGCGUUGGAUUAGCUAGUUGGUAGGGUAAAAGCCUACCAAGGCGACGAUCCAUAGCUGGUCUGAGAGGAUGAUCAGCCACACUGGGACUGAGACACGGCCCAGACCCUUCCGGAGGGCAGAAGUGGGGAAUAUGGGCAAAUGGCGGAAAGCUUGAUCCAGAAUUGCGGGGUGAGUAAUGAGGGCUUAAGGGUUGUAAAGCUCUUUACCCGGGAUGAUAAUGACAGUACCGGGAGAAUAAGCUCCGGCUAACUCCGUG